GCUACGUGUUCAUAUGCAAGGCUGCAGCUGAAGCGCUAACUCAAAUGAAGCAGCAGUCUUGGGUACUCCUGCUUCAUGUUCCCUGAUGGUGCUGCUCAGCCUGCAAGUGAAUUCCAGCUGUGGGAGAUCCUUAGACCUGGGAUACAAACAGAGCCACAAGACAUUUGGGAAAGAUCAUAUGGAAAUUGCUCAUUGCAGUGCGGUGUAGGGAGAAGUGAGAAAAAGGAAAUACUCCCAGUUGAGCAACCUUGCAUAGCCAGGCAUGGAGGAGUGCUGCCACUGUCAUUGUUUUGGAAGACCGUCAGCAUUUCUUGCUGCAGGACACCAGUGCCCUUUUCUACCUCAUGCUAUUAUAGAAGCUUAGUGGAUUUUUUUUUUUCCCCAGGAUCUGUGUCCAGUUGUAGAGCUGGUGUGAAGGUAAAGGUAUGGGCAGCCGUGAUCCAGCCAGCUGGUGUCUUGAAAAGAAACCUGCAACACUAA
rnacentral:lncRNA from 1 species